UUUUGUUUCGUCUGCCACAGUGACUGGCAUCGUUUCGGAUGCCAGCUGCCCCACCUGCCGGGCUCCUGGAGGACGCCAGUGCAGAACAGAGCUCUCUGCUGCCUUGCAAUGGACGGGGUGCACAGUCAAUUAUCUCUUUCCACGAGAUCGGGGUUUCUCACUAUCGGCUAUAUUGACAUUUGGGGCCAGAUAAUUCUGUGCUGUGGGAGACCGUCCUGUGCAGCAGACAACGUUUAGCAGCCUCCCUGGCCUUCACCCACGAGAUGCCAGUCGUGACAACCAAAAAUAUUCCAGGCGAGGGGGUGGGCAACAUCGCCCCCGUUUGUUGAGAAUCACCGCUCGCGAACGUGAGCAUCGUAAGGACGAGGCAGUUCCCUUCUAUGCUCAUCUCUGUGCGCCCAGCAACCUGCACGUGGCUCAGCAAGGAACAGUGGGGGCCGAACGCACAGGAGAGAGGAUCACUAAAAUCGGGAUUUUGUGUCGCUCUCGAAGUCUUCUCUACGCCCUCCGAGUCCCGCAGGCUGCGUUUUGGGAAGCGCGGACGGAGCGGUGUCUGAGGCCAUCCCUGGCUUCACCAAGAGCUGCCCCCUUCUCUGCCCCGGGGCAGGGGUGCCCGUCGGGGCCCGGCGAGCCCGGGAGGGGAGGCCCUCCUGCAUCCCGGCCGGCUGUCAGCUUCUUAAUGCAAAACUGAAGGAAAAGUUUGUAGCCACGACACGGUGCAAUCCGAAGAAGAUAAAUCACAGUUACUUGCGGCCGGCUGACAGCAGUUUAAGCCGCCGCAAUCAUCGGGCUCCAAGGGAGAAGCUUCUUUUAUCUUACUAAAUGCAAAAAGUAGAGCUGAAAUUGGCAAUAUCGCGGGCCCUCUCCACGGCCGGGCUUUUUACAUAAAUAUCAGCAAGCAGUAAGUAAAUUCUGUUGACGAAAUGUAAUAAAACAAAGACUGUUUCAAAUAUGA